rnacentral:rRNA from 1 species
AUUGAACGCUGGCGGCAUGCCUAACACAUGCAAGUCGAACGGCAGCACGGCAGUAGCAAUACUGUGGGUGGCGAGUGGCGGACGGGUGAGGAAUACGUCGGAAUCUGCCCAGUCGUGGGGGAUAACUAGCCGAAAGGUUAGCUAAUACCGCAUACGACCGAGAGGUGAAAGCGGGGGACCGCAAGGCCUCGCGCGAUUGGAUGAGCCGACGUCGGAUUAGCUAGUUGGUGGGGUAAAGGCCCACCAAGGCGACGAUCCGUAGCUGGUCUGAGAGGAUGAUCAGCCACACUGGAACUGAGACACGGUCCAGACUCCUACGGGAGGCAGCAGUGGGGAAUAUUGGACAAUGGGCGCAAGCCUGAUCCAGCAAUGCCGCGUGUGUGAAGAAGGCCUCGGUUGUAG